rnacentral:rRNA from 1 species
CGUAGGCGACUGCGGAUGACAUUAUUGAAUUUUAAUGAAGAGUUUGGUUGUAGCUGGCCCAUUCAUUUGGGCAUGUGCACACCUUUCUCUUUCAUCCCACACACACCUGUGAACCUGUGAGACAGACGGGGAAUUUACUUGUUGCUUUUUGGAAUACAAAGGCAAUAGGUUAUUGGACCCUCUGUCUACUCAAUUAAUAUAAACUCAAUUUAUUUUAAAACAAAUGUAAUGGAUGUAACACAUCUCAUACUAAGUUUCAACAACGGAUCUCUUGGCUCUCGCAUCAAUGAAGAACGCAACGAAAUGCGAUAAGUAAUGUGAAUUGCAUAAUUCAGUGAAUCAUCUAAUCUUUGAACGCACCUUGCGCUCCUUGGUAUUCCUUGGAGCAUGCCUGUUUGAGUAUCAUGAAUUCUUCAAAGUAAAUCUUUUGUUAACUCAAUUGGUUUCACUUUGGUAUUGGAGGUCUUUUGCAGCUUCACACCUGCUCCUCUUUGUUCAUUAGCUGGAUCUCAAUGUUAUGCUUGGUUCCACUCGGCGUGAUAAAUUAUCUAUCGCUGAGGACACUGUAAAAGGUGGCCAAGGUAAACGCAGAUGAACCGCUUCUAAUAGUCCAUUGACUUGGACAAUACCUUUAUGAUCUGAUCUCAAAUCACGUAGGACUACCCGCUGAACUUAAGCAUAUCAUGGGGCGCUAAACUGUAGUGAACCAUGGCUCUUUAGCUUGGCAUUUGAAUCGGCUUUGCUGUUGCGAAGUAGAGUGGCGGCUUCGGCUGCCGAGGGUCGAUCCAUUUGGGAAAUGUUGUGUACUUCGGUAUGCAUCUCAAUUGGACCUGAUAUCAGGCAAGAUUACCCGCUGAACUUAAGCAUAUCAAUAAACGGGAGGGA